UAGGGAAUCUUCGGCAAUGGGGGGCAAACCCUGACCGAGCAACGCCGCGUGAGUGAAGAAGGUUUUCGGAUCGUAAAGCUCUGUUGUAAGAGAAGAACGUGUGUGAGAGUGGAAAGUUCACACAGUGACGGUAACUUACCAGAAAGGGACGGCUAACUACGUGCCAA
rnacentral:rRNA from 1 species